AAAGUUUUUUGUUUUCCCCGCCCGGUCCGGAGACGGCAUCCGGUCGGGCGACGAGUGACCACAAGAGUUAAGAACGACUCUCGGCAACGGAUAUCUCGGCUCUUGCAUCGAUGAAGAACGUAGCGAAAUGCGAUACUUGGUGUGAAUUGCAGAAUCCCGUGAACCAUCGAGUCUUUGAACGCAAGUUGCGCCCGAAGCCCUUAGGCUGAGGGCACGCCUGCCUGGGUGUCACCAAAAGGCGCCCCCCCGUCUCGCCCGUCCCAGGGCACGGGGAGGGGGCGAACGUUGGCCUCCCGGGAGCCCCUGGCUCGCGGUUGGUUCAAAGAGACGGGCUCUUGGUGGGGAGCGGCACCGCGGCAGAUGGUGGUCGAGAACAACCCUCGUGGCCAGUCGCGCGCGCCUCUCCCCCGGUUCAAGGCACGGCGACCCGCGGGCGACGUGGAUCGUCCCGAGCGCGACCUCAGGUCAGGNUGGGUUACC
rnacentral:rRNA from 1 species